GGAAUGUCCCUUGGUGCUAUUUCUAGGGAAACACAUGAAGCAAUUGCAAUAGCAAUGAAUAGAUUAGGUGGAAAGUCAAACUCUGGGGAAGGUGGCGAGGAUCCCAUUCGCUGGAGUCCAUUGACCGAUGUUAUUGAUGGAUAUUCCCCGACACUCCCUCACCUCAAGGGUCUUCAAAAUGGGGAUACUGCUACAAGUGCAAUCAAACAGGUUGCUUCAGGACGUUUUGGGGUCACUCCAAC
rnacentral:misc_RNA from 1 species